GACAAGACUCAAUUAUCUAUCUUCUCACUUCCGGGUAAAACUAUUGGCACAUGUGUAUUGACAGUAAUGACUGAAGAGCUUCAUCAUGCUGCCACCCAUUAUGUCCUGACAAAUUGUGAUGAGUGUUUGCCUUUUAUUGAAGAACAUAAGGACAUUCUUCGUAUACAACAUGGUGAUGAUCGGGUGGAUGAGUUGCACAAAAAAAAUUUGUGGAAUGGUUUUCUAAGAAGAUCCAACAAUUGUAUGUAGAUGGAAAAGUGAGCGCUCAAAUGCG